rnacentral:rRNA from 1 species
GACGAACGCUGGCGGCGUGCUUAACACAUGCAAGUCGAACGGAAAGGCCCUGCUUUUGUGGGGUGCUCGAGUGGCGAAAGGGUGAGUAACACGUGAGUAACCUGCCCUUGACUUUGGGAUAACUUCAGGAAACUGGGGCUAAUACCGGAUAGGAGCUCCUGCUGCAUGGUGGGGGUUGGAAAGUUUCGGCGGUUGGGGAUGGACUCGCGGCUUAUCAGCUUGUUGGUGGGGUAGUGGCUUACCAAGGCUUUGACGGGUAGCCGGCCUGAGAGGGUGACCGGCCACAUUGGGACUGAGAGACGGCCCAGACUCCUACGGGAGGCAGCAGUGGGGAAUAUUGCACAAUGGGCGGAAGCCUGAUGCAGCAACGCCGCGUGCGGGAUGACGGCCUUCGGGUUGUAAACCGCUUUCGCCUGUGACGAAGCGUGAGUGACGGUAAUGGGUAAAGAAGCACCGGCUAACUACGUG